rnacentral:rRNA from 1 species
CCUACGGGAGGCAGCAGUGAGGAAUAUUGGUCAAUGGGCGCGAGUCUGAACCAGCCAAGUAGCGUGAAGGAUGACUGCCCUACGGGUUGUAAACUUCUUUUAUAAAGGAAUAAAGCGAGGCACGUGUGCCUUUUUGUAUGUACUUUAUGAAUAAGGAUCGGCUAACUCCGUGCCAGCAGCCGCGGUAAUACGGAGGAUCCGAGCGUUAUCCGGAUUUAUUGGGUUUAAAGGGAGCGUAGAUGGGUUGUUAAGUCAGUUGUGAAAGUUUGCGGCUCAACCGUAAAAUUGCAAUUGAUACUGGCAGCCUUGAGUACAGUUGAGGUAGGCGGAAUUCGUGGUGUAGCGGUGAAAUGCUUAGAUAUCACGAAGAACCCCGAUUGCGAAGGCAGCCUACUAAACUGUCACUGACAUUGAUGCUCGAAAGUGUGGGUAUCAAACAGGAUUAGAUACCCUAGUAGUC